rnacentral:rRNA from 1 species
UCGUCAGCUCGUGUCGUGAGAUGUUGGGUUAAGUCCCGCAACGAGCGCAACCCUUGUCUUUAGUUGCCAUCAUUAAGUUGGGCACUCUAGAGAGACUGCCAGGGAUAACCUGGAGGAAGGUGGGGAUGACGUCAAAUCAUCAUGCCCCUUAUGCUUAGGGCUACACACGUGCUACAAUGGGUAGUACAGAGGGUUGCCAAGCCGUAAGGUGGAGCUAAUCCCUUAAAGCUACUCUCAGUUCGGAUUGUAGGCUGAAACUCGCCUACAUGAAGCUGGAGUUACUAGUAAUCGCAGAUCAGAAUGCUGCGGUGAAUGCGUUCCCGGGUCUUGUACACACCGCCCGUCACACCACGGGAGUUGGAGACGCCCGAAGCCGAUUAUCUAACCUUUUGGAAGAAGUCGUCGAAGGUGGAAUCAAUAACUGGGGUGAAGUCGUAACAAGGUAGCCGUAUCGGAAGGUGCGGCUGGAUCACCUCCUUU